rnacentral:rRNA from 1 species
UACGGAGGGGGUUAGCGUUGUUCGGAAUUACUGGGCGUAAAGCGUGCGUAGGCUGAUUAGUCAGUCAGAGGUGAAAUCCCAGGGCUCAACCCUGGAACUGCCUUUGAUACUGCUAGUCUAGAGUAUGAGAGAGGUGAGUGGAAUUCCAAGUGUAGAGGUGAAAUUCGUAGAUAUUUGGAGGAACACCAGUGGCGAAGGCGACUCACUGGCUCAUUACUGACGCUGAGGUACGAAAGUGUGGGUAGCAAACAGG